rnacentral:lncRNA from 1 species
AGAUGAGCAUGCAGCUUCUAGAUUGCUAGCACAGCGCCUAAGUGCCCAUCCUGUUAGUAAUCCCAGUAAGAUUUUUACCAAAGCAUGAAGAAACAGAAUUGAGGAGGCGGAAGAGGGAAGGAGUUCUGAGUUGCGUGUAAACAGGGCAACCAGCGUUUCCAGAAUCAAGGGUCUGUUAUAAAUCAGUAGUGCAGACGCAGCUCAAGUGUCAGGACCCGAACAGCUCCCCCAAACCCCCACCAUUCUGCAACCGAAAUAAACCUAAAGGGGAAACACUCCUCCAGCUAGACAAAUGACUUCAACAUGCUGAGUGGCUGCCUUGUCAGUCUCAAGUGGCUCUCUGAUGGUACCUGUUCCCAUACUCCUGGCUUUAAUUCUGCACACAUUCAUUAACUGCAGCUUUUCAGAUUGAAAAAGAAAAGAAAAAGAGCAAAGAAACUUGCUUGCUCUCAUUCCGCGUGGGCUCCUCCACUGUAAGACACUUGUCUCCCAGCAGCCUCUUGGGCUGCAAGAAGAGUGUGUGGGCCAGUGAAUCACCGUGUCACCCAGGGGGAUGUAAGUAGGUCCCUGGUGAGGGACAGGAGUGUUGUUCCUCAGCCGCCCUCUCAUCAAAGGGAGGGUGAGUGCCUCCGAGUGGGUGUUCGGUUAGACCAAAGGCAAUCCCUGAUGGGGAUCUGGCGCAUUCUCUGAGUGGGUCCCCCUGCCUCUGUAGCCUCAGUUUCCUCCACUGUGAAAUGAAGGAGUCAGAACAGACCAUUUUCUAGGGUCCCUUUUCUCUCUAAUCAUCUAUGUGUGAUGCCUUGGUACACAUCCCGCUGCCUGCUCUUCUCUGCAAAGCCUCCCAGCCAGCAUGCCUGGAAAGGGACAUAGCGUGCACAGUACCGAUCUGCACACCCUGGGGAUGGCUGGAGCGCCUGAGAAGGGUGCCUCCCUUCAUUCGUUUACUCCCGGAUGCUUUACAAAUAUUUUUAUUUUCUCCGUGUUCCAUGGCGUGAAGAAUGUCGGGCAGCACUACUUUACUUGUUGGCCCACAGAGGAAUACACUGAAGCAAGGAAGAUCCAAGUAACGUGUCCAUCGCUGUGCAGCUCGUAAGAGGUGCGGGCCUGAUUCCAAAGACUGAACUCUUAACCUGCGUGCCAGGAGCUGCCUUCCUGGCUGCCCAUUAACACCAGUGGAGGAGCUUUUGGAAAGCACACAGGCCUGGCCCCAGAGUGGCCCAGUGACUUCACUGGUCAGCGGGAUCUGGGCUCUGAUAGUUCCUUCCGUCUCCCUGGGUGGUCCUGAUGCGCGCAGCACUGACAACAUCAUCCCUGCAGCGGCAGAGGUGACCCGGGGCUCCCGGCCUGCCCCGGAGAAGUCAGCAGUAGCUGCGAGUCGACCUGAUGCAAUAGAGGCAAUCUUCCAGCUUCAUCCGCACGUGAGGAGAACUGAACGUGUGUUUGAAAGCAAGAUGUCCAAGAAGCCAGCAAUAGGUUUUCACAUCACAAUGUCCAGAGAACUAAACAGUUUCAAAUCCUGGAUUAUUCAAAUCUUAGAUAACUUAGUCUGUGGCUGAGAAUCCUUCCUGGGUCCUGGAGUUGGGGUUGGAGGCAGCGCAGGGCUGACCCCUUUCCCUGUCCUUGGGUGGGGAGGUGGUAGAACCCGGUGGUACGUCUAUUUCCCAGACACUGGGGCCCUCUCCUCACCUCAAGCAAGGAGGUCCCAUAGCCCUUUAGUCUUCAGAUCUCCUUCAGAGCCUGGAACCAGGGCGAGGAAAGGGUCAGGUAGGGGACCCGCCACACUCAUCAUGUGACAGUGAGGUCUCUAAGCUGCUGUGGAUGCCUGGGGCAAUGAGCCCCCGACUAGUGGGUGGAGGGAGGGAGGAACAGCUCUGGCACCUAAAGAACAGGAGGAGGUUGGGACAGGUGAUGCGAUACUGCUCCCAGGGAGGAAGUAAUCCAACCCCUCAGCUGGGCGGUGGCUCCUCUUGAAAAGGCACGGAAGGACCAGAGCUGGGCCUCAUGGGGAGAAGGGUGGAGAGCCCACCACAGCUCUGCUCCAACAGCCGGCCUCAGACACAUGCUGCUGCCUGAGGGAAGCCAGCUCUGCUUCCUGACCCCAGGAGCAGGAGGGCCCUGCAGGGUAGGUUUCAUUACCUCAUUUUAGAUGAAGUAACCAAGGCCCAAAGGUACAAUUCGCAACCAGAUGGCAAACGAUCCCAUUCUGAGUUGAUCAUGAAACAGAGUCCAGAAAAUGAUGUCAAAUAUUUCUUUUAAAAAAAUACAGUGCUCUUUCUCCUCCUGGGCUGUGCUUUGCUGGGCAUCUUGCUGCAAUGUCAAGGCCCCUACACUUUCCAGGUUCCAUCUGGAGGAAGCCUUUGGUAUGGAGCAUUGUAUUAUUUUCCUUUUGCUAUGGUAAUCAAUUAGUGCAAAGUUAGUGGCUUAAAACAACACAAAUUUACUAUCUUGCAGUUCUUGAAGUAAGGAGUCUAAGAUCAAGGUGUCGCAGGGCCGAUUCCUCCUGGAGGCUUUGGGGAGAAUCUGUUUCCUCGCCUCUUCUGGCUUCUAAAGUCAGCCUACAUUUCUUGGCUCAUGGUCCCUUCCUCCAUCUUCAAAGCCAGAGUAUAGCAUCUUUUCUCCUCUCUGACCUCCUGCCUCCUUCUUAUAAAGAUCCUUGUGAUUACAGUGGGCCCACAGGAUGAUCCAAGAUAAUCUCCCCACCUCAAGUUCCUCUCCUUAAUUCCACCUGCCAUAUAAGGUAUCUGCUUGGGUUCUGGUGAGUAGGAUGUGCAUGUCUUUAGGAGGCCCUUAUUCAGUCCACCACGGGCAUCUAUCAGUCAAAUACAUCUUUCUCCUGCUAAUAAGGGCAGCCCUGCCUAGAAUAACUAGAAUAGCUGUUAUGCAAUUAUCCAGCCCGCCGUGGAUAAGGAGGGGAAAAACGCGGUUGGUGAGGGGGAGUGAGAGCCUGACCCACCUCUUAUCCAUAUUGUAAUGCUCUGGGGACUCUGCUGGAGGCAGUAAGGAGGGGCAGGCUUUUUUUUUUUUUAAAGAUUGGCACCUGAGCUAACAUCUGUUGCCCAUCUUCUUUUCUUCUUCUCCUUCUCCCCAAGGGUCCCCAGUGCAUGGUAUAUUCUAGUUGUAAGUCCUUCUGGUUGUGCUAUGUGGGACGCCACCUCAGCGUGGCCUGAGGAGCAGUGCCAUGUCCGUGCCCAGGAUCCAGACCAGAGAAACCCUGGGCCACCAAAGUGGAGCUCAAACUUAACCACUUGGCCAUGGGGCCGACUGCAGGGGAAGGCUUUUUACCAGAACUAAAAAUUUUUAAAAAUCUUGAGAAAGGAGCAGUUCCAAAAUAUAUUUUAUUUACUCAUCAAAGCACUUUUAUAGAACUAGGUGUAUGCCAGGCACUCGAAUAAGCAUUGCAUAUUCAUUCACUCCUUCUAAUAAUCUCAUGAAGCACAUUCUAUAUCAUUAUCCCCAUUUUACAGAUGAGGAAACAGGUGCGGCCAAGGUCAAGGGACAUGUUGAAGGUCAUACAGCUACUAGCAGUGGAGCCUCAUGAAGUGGUAUCAGAUGAUCUCGGACAGCAGCUCCCCUGUUCCAGGCCACCCUCGGGCCCACUUCACCCAGGGCUUGUCCUGGAACCCACAACUCUCAGUGUCCCUUCAGGUGGCUUAUUGUUAGACGGUACUGGCAUAAGUAUCGGGAGAAGUAGUUUUCACCUCGUAGGAUGUCUUUGUCUCACCUCAGGAGAGAAGAAGAGCCCCAGGACAGAGAGGAGGAGCUUCUUUAGAAUCCCAGAGCCGGAACAUACCUGAAUGAUCAGCCUGAUGGUCACAGUUUCCCAAACUUCUAACCCAGGGUGCAAAGCCCAGGAGCUGAGCUGGCGGGGGGCGGUCCAAGUGCUUGGCCUGAGUCUUCCUGCCUCCAGCUAGAGAAUGUCCUUCAAGGCUCAAGUUCUAGGUUAAAAAUUCAUGAAGCAUUUUUCAUUCUAAACCUAUAAUGUCUCUGUUAAGGAACCGUUUUUCCAAAAAAAUAAGCUUUUGAAUAAAAU